GGCCAGACUCCUACGGGAGGCAGCAGUGAGGAAUAUUGCACAAUGGGGGAAACCCUGAUGCAGCGACGCCGCGUGAGUGAAGAAGUAUUUCGGUAUGUAAAGCUCUAUCAGCAGGGAAGAUAAUGACGGUACCUGAGUAAGAAGCCCCGGCUAACUACGUGCCAGCAGCCGCGGUAAUACGUAGGGGGCAAGCGUUAUCCGGAUUUACUGGGUGUAAAGGGAGCGUAGACGGCAUGGCAAGUCUGAAGUGAAAGCCCGGGGCUCAACCGCGGGACUGCUUUGGAAACUGUUAAGCUGGAGUGCAGGAGAGGUAAGUGGAAUUCCUAGUGUAGCGGUGAAAUGCGUAGAUAUUAGGAGGAACACCAGUGGCGAAGGCGGCUUACUGGACUGUAACUGACGUUGAGGCUCGAAAGCGUGGGGAGCAAACAGGAUUAGAUACCCCCGUACCC
rnacentral:rRNA from 1 species